CCUACGGGAGGCAGCAGUGAGGAAUAUUGGUCAAUGGGCGUAAGCCUGAACCAGCCAAGUCGCGUGAGGGAUGAAGGUUCUAUGGAUCGUAAACCUCUUUUAUAAGGGAAUAAAGUGCGGGACGUGUCCCGUUUUGUAUGUACCUUAUGAAUAAGGAUCGGCUAACUCCGUGCCAGCAGCCGCGGUAAUACGGAGGAUCCGAGCGUUAUCCGGAUUUAUUGGGUUUAAAGGGUGCGUAGGCGGCCUUUUAAGUCAGCGGUGAAAGUCUGUGGCUCAACCAUAGAAUUGCCGUUGAAAUUGGGAGGGUUGAGGAGGUUUGAGGCCGGCGGAAUGGGGGGUGGUGCGGUGAAAUGCUUAGAUAUCAAGAAGAACCCCGAUUGCGAAGGCAGCCCGCCAAGCCAUG
rnacentral:rRNA from 1 species